GAUACACACAGUGCUCGGUUUGCAGAUCCCAUGUCACUAGUCACAGCUAUGACAUAGUUCCGUCAGUGGAGUUUCCUGUGAAAUGGUAUGCUACUGUCUGUUUCCACCGUGAUGACAGUCCUCCCAACAUAAACACAAGAGCAUGAGUGGCACUACCACAAUGACCAGGCAAAGUCACAUUCCCAAGCAAUUGUCCACUACUUGCAUCAUACUCAAUACUAGGUGUAAUGGACAUUUCAUCUAAUGUGAGACAGCAGACUCUUUCCUGUUCACACAAAUCAUUUGCCUUCACUGCUAAGUAUUCAAAAACUUGGUUGAGUAUGCCGGGCUCAAAUAGAACUGUUUCCAUCCGUCGUUGAAGAGUUCGAACAGAUGGUAAAGGAAACUGCUGUUUUAAAAAUGACCACCGAAUUCCUCGCAUUCCUCGGGACAAUGCUAGCAGCUGAUCUUCAGCAAAAAGUUUUUAAAUCUUUGAUUCCUGACUUGCCAUUUGCUUAGUAAGUGCAUUAUUUCUUCUUGUAAUUUUGUGCAGUUUGGCUCUUGAAACUUGUAAUUUGGCUUUCAAUUUUACGACUUCUCUAGCUGUUGUAGAGGAAUCAAUUGAAAGGGUAUUAGAUUCAUCCACAUCUAUAUCUAGAUCUGCCACACUGGUUUCAUAUGCUACAGAGUCAUGUUGAGUUGCCUUAUCAUCAUUGGAAUUAUGUUCAGCUGUACAUUAAUCAAUUGAGAUAGAUUAGUUAACUUGCAUUAAUUGUACUUGGUUCUUCAUAGUAGUAAUUUAAACAAUUGAAAAAUGAAAAACAAUCCCAAGAUUGAAGAAACUUCUACUAAACUUUGAAAUUAUGUCUACAUGUGUGCCUGUUGUCAUUAUUGCGUGUGUGUGUUCUAUCAUGUGUAAUUUGCAGUUUUCUUUUCUUUGUGGCUUUAUAAAUAUAGUACAGUUGAUUGAGAUGUUAUUAAUUA